rnacentral:rRNA from 1 species
UACGUAGGGGGCAAGCGUUGUCCGGAUUUAUUGGGCGUAAAGAGCGUGUAGGCGGCCUGACAGGUCUGCUGUGAAAACUCGAGGCUCAACCUCGAGAUGUCGGCGGAAACCGUCUGGCUAGAGUCCGGUAGAGGAGCGUAGAAUUCCUGGUGUAGCGGUGAAAUGCGCAGAUAUCAGGAGGAAUACCAGCGGCGAAGGCGGCGCUCUGGGCCGGUACUGACGCUGAGGAGCGAAAGCGUGGGGAGCAAACAGG